CAGAACAGGAGCGUGCUACAGUAAAGAGUGUGCUACAGUAAAGAGUGUGCUACAGUACAGGAGCGUACUACAGAACAGGAGCGUGCUACAGUACAGGAGCGUGCUACAGGACAGGAGCGUGCUACAGGACGGGAGCGUGCUACAGAACGGGAGCGUGCUACAGAACGGGAGCGUGCUACAGAACGGGAGCGUGCUACAGAACGGGAGCGUGCUACAGUACAGGCGCGUGCUACAGAACAGGAGCGUGCUACAGAACAGGAGCGUGCUACAGGACAGGAGCGUGCUACAGGACAGGAGCGUGCUACAGAACAGGAGCGUGCUACAGUAAAGAGUGUGCUACAGAACAGGAGCGUGCUACAGAACAGGAGCGUGCUACAGGACAGGAGCGUGCUACAGGACAGGAGCGUGCUACAGAACAGGAGCGUGCUACAGAACAGGAGCGUGCUACAGGACAGGAGCGUGCUACAGAACAGGAGCGUGCUACAGAACAGGAGCGUGCUACAGUACAGGAGCGUGCUACAGAACAGGAGCGUGCUACAGUACAGGAGCGUGCUACAGAACAGGAGCGUGCUACAGGACAGAAGCGUGCUACAGAACAGAAACGUGCUACAGGACAAGAGCGUGCUACAGUAAAGAGCGUGCUACAGAACAGGAGCGUGCUACAGAACAGGAGCGUGCUACAGAACAGGAGCGUGCUACAGGACAGGAGCGUACUACAGAACGGUAGCGUGCUACAGUACAGGAGCGUGCUACAGAACAGGAGCGUGCUACAGAACAGGAGCGUGCUUCAGAACAGGAGCGUGCUACAGUACAGGAGCGUGCUACAGAACAGGAGCGUGCUACAGUAAAGAGUGUGCUACAGUAAAGGAGCGUGCUACAGUACAGGAGCGUGCUACAGUACAGGAGCGUGCUACAGAACAGGAGCGUGCUACAGAACAGGAGCGUGCUACAGUAAAGAGUGUGCUACAGUAAAGAGUGUGCUACAGUACAGGAGCGUACUACAGAACAGGAGCGUGCUACAGUACAGGAGCGUGCUACAGGACAGGAGCGUGCUACAGGACAGGAGCGUGCUACAGAACAGGAGCGUGCUACAGAACAGGAGCGUGCUACAGAACAGGAGCGUGCUACAGAAUAGGAGCGUGCUACAGGGGCUCAAGGCCACUCUGGGG
rnacentral:lncRNA from 1 species